rnacentral:rRNA from 1 species
UGCUAUCAUGCAGUCGAGCGAAUGGAUUAAGAGCUUGCUCUUAUGAAGUUAGCGGCGGACGGGUGAGUAACACGUGGGUAACCUGCCCAUAAGACUGGGAUAACUCCGGGAAACCGGGGCUAAUACCGGAUAACAUUUUGAACCGCAUGGUUCGAAAUUGAAAGGCGGCUUCGGCUGUCACUUAUGGAUGGACCCGCGUCGCAUUAGCUAGUUGGUGAGGUAACGGCUCACCAAGGCAACGAUGCGUAGCCGACCUGAGAGGGUGAUCGGCCACACUGGGACUGAGACACGGCCCAGACUCCUACGGGAGGCAGCAGUAGGGAAUCUUCCGCAAUGGACGAAAGUCUGACGGAGCAACGCCGCGUGAGUGAUGAAGGCUUUCGGGUCGUAAAACUCUGUUGUUAGGGAAGAACAAGUGCUAGUUGAAUAAGCUGGCACCUUGACGGUACCUAACCAGAAAGCCACGGCUAACUACGUGCCAGCAGCCGCGGUAAUACGUAGGUGGCAAGCGUUAUCCGGAAUUAUUGGGCGUAAAGCGCGCGCAGGUGGUUUCUUAAGUCUGAUGUGAAAGCCCACGGCUCAACCGUGGAGGGUCAUUGGAAACUGGGAGACUUGAGUGCAGAANAGGAAAGUGGAAUUCCAUGUGUAGCGGUGAAAUGCGUAGAGAUAUGGAGGAACACCCGUGGCGAAGGCGACUUUCUGGUUCUGUAACUGACACUGAGGGCGCGAAAGCGUGUGGGAGCAAAA